CGACCAGACUCCUACGGGAGGCAGCAGUGGGGAAUAUUGCACAAUGGGGGAAACCCUGAUGCAGCGACGCCGCGUGAGCGAUGAAGUAUUUCGGUAUGUAAAGCUCUAUCAGCAGGGAAGAAAAUGACGGUACCUGACUAAGAAGCCCCGGCUAACUACGCGCCAGCAGCCGCGGCAAUACGUAGGGGGCAAGCGUUAUCCGGAUUUACUGGGUGUAAAGGGAGCGUAGGCGGCAUGGCAAGCCAGAUGUGAAAUGCCGGGGCUCAACCCCGGGACUGCAUUUGAAACUGUUAGGCUGGAGUGUCGGAGAGGCAGGCGGAAUUCCUGGUGUAGCGGUGAAAUGCGUAGAUAUUAGGAGGAACACCAGUGGCGAAGGCGGCCUGCUGGACGAUAACUGACGUUGAGGCUCGAAAGCGUGGGGAGCGAACAGGAUUAGAUACCCGUGUA
rnacentral:rRNA from 1 species